rnacentral:rRNA from 1 species
AAUAGAUACCCUGGUAGUCCUGGCCGUAAACCAUGGGCACUGGGUAGGGGGCUCGCCGAUGGGCCCCCUGCCGCAGCGAAAGCGUGAAGUGCCCCGCCUGGGGAGUAUGGCCGCAAGGCUGAAACUCAAAGGAAUUGACGGGGGCUCACACAAGCGGUGGAGCAUGUGGCUUAAUUCGAGGCUACGCGAAGAACCUUAUCCCGGGCUUGACAUGCACGGAUUAGCCCCCUGAAAGGGGGUGACGCCCUCGGGUGGAACGUGCACAGGUGCUGCAUGGCUGUCGUCAGCUCGUGCCGUGAGGUGUUGGGUUAAGUCCCGUAACGAGCGAAACCCCUGCGACCAGUUGCCAGCACGUAACGGUGGGGACUCUGGUCGGACCGCCGGCGUCAAGCCGGAGGAAGGCGGGGACGACGUCAAGUCAUCAUGGCCCUUAUGCCCGGGGCUGCACACGUGCUACAAUGGGCCGGACAGAGCGUCGCCACUGCGCAAGCAGGAGCCAAUCGCAGAAACCCGGCCCCCAGUUCGGAUUGCGGGCUGCGACCCCG